AGGGAGCUUCAAAGAGCCUGUCCACCCAGAGAGGAGAGGACAUUUCAGCCUGGUUGUGAUGCAUAACAGGGCUCUGCAGGCUGAACACAACUCCUCCGAUGGGAUAAAAUCUCCUGGCCAAAUUUAACCGCCUCCCCGCGUGCAGCAGCGCUUAACUGAGAAAUGCUCGUGUAGCGACCGCGAAUGACAUUACUGUUUGCCUUUUUUUCCCUCUCAAGAAGUCUUUGUCGGUGCCGUAACUUGCACGGGGCGGGUUGAGCAAGUUUCAUUGUCUUGAUAUUAUACCGCAACAGAGUCGUUUACGCGGAGCCGAAGCCUAGGACGAGAUGGGGAGCGAAAAGUACUUGCCGGAGCUUAUGGCAGAGAAGGACACGCUGGAUCCGUCUUUUCAGCACUCCUUGCGGUUACUGGAUCAAGAAAUCGAAAAAAUCCAGAAAGAUGAGGGGAAGGAAGAAGAAAAAUUCAUCGACGUCGUCAUCAACAAGAACAUGAAACUGGGCCAGAAAGUUUUAAUACCAGUCAAGCAGUUUCCUAAAUUUAACUUUGUCGGCAAACUCCUCGGGCCACGUGGGAACUCGUUAAAGAGACUACAGGAGGACACUCUCACAAAGAUGUCAAUUCUCGGGAAGGGAUCCAUGAGAGACAAAGAAAAGGAAGAAGAGCUUCGGAAGAGCGGCGAAGCCAAAUAUCACCACCUGAACGAAGACCUCCAUGUGCUCAUCGAGGUGUUCGCUCCGCCGGCUGAGGCCUACGCCAGGAUGGGUCACGCUCUGGAGGAGAUCAAGAAGUUUCUCAUCCCGGAUUACAAUGAUGAGAUCAGACAGGCCCAGCUGCAGGAGCUCACGUACCUGAAUGGUGGCUCGGAGGAUGCCAAGGUGCCAUCGGUGAGGGGCAAGUCAGCCGCCCGUGGAAGAGGGACACCUGUUCCAGGGCCUCCCAGGAGUCGAGGAGGAGUUCCUCCUCUACAUGCAGCAGUGCCCCGGGGAGCAGCACCCAGGGGUGCCCCACCCAGCCGGGCGCCAUCCUCCAGAGGGAGGGGGGUGCAGAGAGCCAGAGGCGCCCCCCCAGCUGCCGGGUACCGACCGCCACCUCCCAUAGUGCAGGACUCAUAUGGUGAAUAUGAAUACGACGACGGCUAUGGAGCAGCUUACGAUGACCAGGGAUAUGAAUCAUACGACAACAACUACAGCAAUCAAGGACAGAACUCAGAUGACUACUAUGAAUAUGGGCACAGUGGGGAAUCAUAUGAUUCCUAUGGUCAGGAAGACUGGGCAAAUAAUCGCAGCAAGGCACCGUCGGCACGAACAACCAAGGGAGUGUACAGAGAUCAGCCAUACUCCAGAUAUUGAACUGUUUAUACAACCCGCACCUGAGUCCCCAUGGCUGUUUCAACUCAAGCUGAUGACCAAGAGUCCACCAGGCCGUCAUCCAUCUGAUUACCUCAUUAGGGCUAAAGACUUCCUUUUGGGUGAUUUUAGGAUGAACCACACAUGAGCCUCUUUCCAAAAAUUUCAAGGGUGCAGAGUGUCAAGCCGAACCCUGAAAAGGCCCGGCAGUGAACAUAAGAGGCAGAGGCAACUUCACAAUGGAUCUCACCAUGGCCAAAUGGUGGACAUUCAAUUUUCACAGUCUGAACCGGGGUGAAUUCUGCGGGGAAUGAGAUGGAGUGACCUGUUGAGAUUCGGAGAAGGGGAAAAGAGAUAAUGUGUGUAUCGCACUUCCUCAGUCUCCAGAGAGAAAGAGAGAGGAAACCCGUGAGGCAAAUGGAGUUCCUCGUCCUCUGGGAGUCUCUGUCUGUGAAUAUUUCCUUCAGAGGUUCAUUGACUCUGUAUACAUUUUACAUACAUACAGGGGUACGCUGCACUGACUGUGAACCUGCCCGGCGUCUUUGUUGAUUCCAGUUGUUAUGAGAGGGAAAAGUGCCUAGCCCUUACAUUAGACAUUAACUGUCGUCUACCAGGGAAGAUGACUAAAUUAAUAAUGCAAUAUGCCAAGGGCGUGACAUCGUAUUUCUAGCAAAGUCAGUAUUGUAUUUCCAUAUUGUUUUGCUCAUUAACCUAUAUCCAAUCCCCUCAAAUGAAUAAAUAAUUCACCAAGUGCCUUAUUGUUUGUCAAGACAGAUUUAGAUAUAGAGUCUUGCGGUUUUGAGAGUUAAAAUGUGGGACAGUGCACCGGGAAAGGAAUCUAUUUUUCCUUCUAUCGGGCUGUUUUUGGUUUUCUGUAUGAAUUACCGUGAAGCUGGAAUACACCACCUGGCCUGCGCAGGAAUACACCCAAUUCCAGAUGUACUGCUAAAUCAGAAUUGACUUCAGAGGAUAUUACAAUUCCAAAAUAGCUUUCCACUGGAUAGAGAGCUUCAUUCUCUCUUGUGCAUAAGCCCAGAUAGGCCAAUCUGUAUCCCACACAGUUGUAUGUCCUCAGCAGCAGACAAUGGUUUUCCAUUAGAGGAAGU